AGUGAACGCUGGCGGUAGGCCUAACACAUGCAAGUCGAACGGCAGCACAGUAAGAGCUUGCUCUUACGGGUGGCGAGUGGCGGACGGGUGAGGAAUACAUCGGAAUCUACUUUUUCGUGGGGGAUAACGUAGGGAAACUUACGCUAAUACCGCAUACGACCUACGGGUGAAAGCAGGGGAUCUUCGGACCUUGCGCGAUUGAAUGAGCCGAUUUCGGAUUAGCUAGUUGGCGGGGUAAAGGCCCACCAAGGCGACGAUCCGUAGCUGGUCUGAGAGGAUGAUCAGCCACACUGGAACUGAGACACGGUCAAGACUCCUACGGGAGGCAGCAGUGGGGAAUAUUGGACAAUGGGCGCAAGCCUGAUCAAGCCAUACCGCGUGGGUGAAGAAGGCCUUCGGGUUGUAAAGCCCUUUUGUUGGGAAAGAAAAGCAGCAGGUUAAUACCCCGCUGUUCUGACGGUACCCAAAGAAUAAGCACCGGCUAACUUCGUG
rnacentral:rRNA from 1 species